AACUGGUGCCGUACCAUCAUGACAAUACCUGAUCUCAUAUGAUCUAAAGCUAAGCAGGGUUGGCCUGGGUUAGCACUUGGGAUGAGAGACUGUUGGAUAAUAAUACUACUUACCACAUUGGUGCAGCAGUGU
rnacentral:rRNA from 1 species